rnacentral:rRNA from 1 species
UGGGGAAUAUUGGACAAUGGGCGAAAGCCUGAUCCAGCCAUGCCGCGUGUGUGAAGAAGGCCUUUUGGUUGUAAAGCACUUUAAGUGGGGAGGAAAAGCUUAUGGUUAAUACCCAUAAGCCCUGACGUUACCCACAGAAUAAGCACCGGCUAACUCUGUGCCAGCAGCCGCGGUAAUACAGAGGGUGCAAGCGUUAAUCGGAAUUACUGGGCGUAAAGCGCGCGUAGGUGGUUAUUUAAGUCAGAUGUGAAAGCCCCGGGCUUAACCUGGGAACUGCAUCUGAUACUGGAUAACUAGAGUAGGUGAGAGGGGAGUAGAAUUCCAGGUGUAGCGGUGAAAUGCGUAGAGAUCUGGAGGAAUACCGAUGGCGAAGGCAGCUCCCUGGCAUCAUACUGACACUGAGGUGCGAAAGCGUGGGUAGCAAACAGGAUUAGAUACCCUGGUAGUCCACGCCGUAAACGAUGUCUACCAGUCGCUGGGUCUUUUAAAGACUUAGUGACGCAGUUAACGCAAUAAGUAGACCGCCUGGGGAGUACGGCCGCAAGGUUA